CCCUUAGAUGUUCUGGGCCGCACGCGUGCUACACUGAGUGGAUCAGCGGGUCAGGUUGCGCGAAAGUGUUUCCUAAUCUUUAAAUCCGCUCGUGAUGGGGAUUGGCGGUUGCAAUUUUCCGUCAUGAACGAGGAAUACCUUGUAAGCGCGGGUCAUCAUCCCGCGCUGAAUACGUCCCUGCCCUUUGUACACACCGCCCGUCGCUCCUACCGAUUGAGUGGUCCGGUGAGGCUUUGGGAUCUGGGCGGAAAGAGCGUUUCGCUGUUUCUGCCCGGAAAACUCAGUCGAACCUUAUCAUUUAGAGGAAGGAGAAGUCGUAACA
rnacentral:rRNA from 1 species